AUCGCACAACGAAAGGUAGACAUGCGACCAACGAGCACUUGGCUUGCACCGCAGUGUCAGGUUGGGGGCGAACAGAGCGUAGGCUCGCGCCUCGUGCCCGCUUCGACGUCAUUCCCGUCUUUUUCUCCCUUUCCUCGGCAGGUUACUCCGUCCGAAUCCGCGAGAGCGACACCCCUGGACGCAAAGUGGGCCUCUGGGGCUGCGACUUCUGUUCCUUCACGCACGCGAACGUGGCAAAGGUGCAAGAGCACGUCUCCCAACGGCACCUCGCUGGACUCAAGCGCAAGUGGGAGGCGGCCUCUUGGCACGGUCACGAGUCGCCGAGCCGGGACGCAUCGUGUGACGAAGGCAGCGACCUUUCGCUCCCUCCGAGCAGACGACCGGUGCCUGUCAGGCGCGGUGGCGGUGAUGGACUCGUCGUGCAGUUCACGGAUUCGGAAGACGAGGACGACUUCCCGCCGCAGCCCCUUGUCGUCUGCAAAACGGACGACGAAGACGACGAAUGCUGCUCAGCUCCCGCCUCGUUCUGAAAAGCACAGUUGCAGACGACCGUCUGCAACCAUGCUUCAGAGGGAAGCGGACGACGCAGAGAAACCCGGACGAGUUAGGGCCGGCUUUUCGGAUCGGAGCCGCAUCUUUUUUGACGUCAAGGACCAACCGUUUGUUGUUUGUGAGAGGCGUCAGUGUAGAUCUGUUGUUCUAUGAGCAAGUUUGAUUUGUUGUUCGUCCUUAUUAAGGCGUAUUCAACAACUUUUGAUUAUGCAGUUGCCUCGGCACUUUCGUAACCUGUUGUUGUGAGGUGGGGAGUGCAGUUUCCCAACAGCAAAUAUCAAGCUUAUUUCAAACUUGUUUGCAUUCUUGCCUGGUGAUUUUUUUCUUUCACAAAUGUUUGAUCAAAUUUCUCGUACAAUCUCUGCAUUCCGUUCUCGCUUUUUUGGUACACAGGGUCGGUUUCCAUAGCAAUCAAAAAAUAUUUUUUUGUGGCUGCUAUAGACUUAUUUUGUUCAGCCAGUCCUGAGUACAUUGAGAAUAAGUCUAGAGUCUAUUGAAGAGUAUUGUAUUGUCAAUCAUUGUUUGCCUCACUUUCUUCUGAGCCAUAUUAUGGAAGUGUGUUUAAACAAACUGCUCUAAAUGAAGAAAGUGCCAAUAUUUGACCGCACUUCAUAAUUUUUUGUGUGCUAAUUGUAUUUUUGCAAUGCUAAGGUGCUUGUUCGGAAAAUAUGUACUUGUGUUUCAAGUCUGGAUUGCAAAUCUUUAUAGACGAGAGCAAAGAUCAAACCCUGUGCUACAGAUUGCACAUGACACGUUGAAUAUGCCGUUUUUAUGGAGCUUAGCGCAUGUUUCUUGUGUCACUAGUUCUUUAUGUGUUCUGUAUUAUCUUUUGUUCGUUUCAGCUUUGUCUAAACUGUAGUUUGUGUUCUUGUUUUUAGGAAAUAUAAGCCGAGUUACGCAUUGUUUAUGGUCACUCCAAGCCGACUGCUGGGACUGGCUGGAGUAUAGAUUUUGCUUUUCCACUUAAUCACUGCAAGACGUGCAAAAAGUUUGCUAAACACAUAUUUCCCUGAGGGGGAAAAAAAAAAUCUAGUCUUUGUAGACAUUGUUUUAUUUUAUGUUGCCAUUAUUUCAUGUGUGAUCUCUUUUGCAAGGGGCUGAAGGGCUGCAAUAUGCACCAUGCAAUGUUUUUUGUUUAGUUUUUUGGAAUCAAAUUAAAAUGGAGAAAGAUCGGAGGCAUGUCGCGGUGCAAACCUCUAUCCUGAGGGGGUCAUCCCUGAUCUCUAUGCAUCUAAUGUUGCAUGAGGUGUUUUCAGGUUUGUUACAUGAGGUGUUUUCAGGUUAUGAGUACACACAUUAUUUUCACUUAAUAUGCGAGACUCGCUCUGGCACAAUGCAGUACUUUCAAUCAACCGCUCAGAUUUCUCGCAGGUCUUGCUACCAAUUUGAGGACUGUCGCAAACUUGAAAGCGCCAAAAUGUUUUGGCGGCGGUCUCUGUCAAUGAAUUGCAGUUCGGUCGGUUGCAAUAGACCCCCUUCAAAAGUCCGCCGAGCAACAGUUGUGGCAGCCAUACUUUGGGCAUCGCUCCCUGUGCAAAGUGAGCGAUUAAGUCCAAGUUCACGUUAAGCACUGGUGUAGGAGCUUCUAGUCGGGCACUCGGCGAGAAAAUCCACGAGGCCGCCGAACACAGCGAUUGGCCAGCACCAAGGUCAAGCGCGGCUCUGGCCAAUCGCGGCAGUCUGCGAUCUCGCUGACUUCCUCGCCGAGCAUCUAACCUGGAGCCCCUGCGCUCGUGUCCAGAGCGCGCUCGAGGUACACGACCAAAUUACGACAGCCUCAGACGACCUACGCAGAAGAUGCGGGAGUGCACACACUUUCAAUAAGGGUCUAUUGACAGCCGUUGUCGGGGGCUCCUUCGAGCCUAUCGUGUCUCCAUUCACAUGUUUCGGGCCCUGUCUGCUCUUGCCGCUUCUCGACGACGUCUGUGUUUUCUCGGGAGGAAAUAAAAAGGACCGUGUUU